rnacentral:rRNA from 1 species
UACGUAGGGGGCUAGCGUUGUCCGGAAUCACUGGGCGUAAAGCGCACGUAGGUGGCGACGUAAGUCGGGUGUGAAAGCCCCGGGCUCAACCUGGGAAUUGCAUUCGAGACUGCAUUGCUGGAGUACGGAAGAGGAGGGCGGAAUUCCCGGUGUAGCGGUGAAAUGCGUAGAGAUCGGGAGGAACACCUGUGGCGAAGGCGGCCACCUGGGCCGACCCUGACGCUGAGGCGCGAAGGCGUGGGGAGCGAACGGG